GGAGAACGCUGGCGGCGUGCCUAAUACAUGCAAGUCGAGCGGAAUGAUGAAGAAGCUUGCUUCUUCUGAUUUUUAGCGGCGGACGGGUGAGUAACACGUGGGCAACCUACCUUGUAGAUUGGGAUAACUCCGGGAAACCGGGGCUAAUACCGAAUAAUCCAUUUUGCUUCAUGGCGAGAUGUUGAAAGACGGUUUCGGCUGUCACUACAAGAUGGGCCCGCGGCGCAUUAGCUAGUUGGUAGGGUAAUGGCCUACCAAGGCGACGAUGCGUAGCCGACCUGAGAGGGUGAUCGGCCACACUGGGACUGAGACACGGCCCAGACUCCUACGGGAGGCAGCAGUAGGGAAUCUUCCACAAUGGACGAAAGUCUGAUGGAGCAACGCCGCGUGAGUGAAGAAGGUUUUCGGAUCGUAAAACUCUGUUGUAAGGGAAGAACACGUACGAGAGUAACUGCUCGUACCUUGACGGUACCUUAUUAGAAAGCCACGGCUAACUACGUG
rnacentral:rRNA from 1 species